GGGGGGGGGGGACCGGCGUACCCCUACCGGGCGGCCGAACCAAUACUUUAAUCCCAGACUUGUGCGUGCUUUGCAAAACCACAAGAGGGACCACGUCUUCAAAAACGAGCUUUAAGAAAGCUUCUGGAUUAUGUCACCCAGAAAGCCAAGCUACGGGGUUUCCAAGCGCACACUAAAGGGCAAUGUGUGUGUUGUACGAUCGGGAAGGCUAAGCAACGGGGUUUCCGAGCGCACACCAGAGGGCGAUUUGUGACGCAGUAAUAAUUUCUAACCAAAAGAUGAAAUUUCAAAGUCCCACCUUUUUCUAUUUCUAAAAAAAAUCCAGCAAUAUGGCGUCUUGUAUUGGGGAAGCUUUAAGACAAAGGAUUUUCAUCUUAUUUGUUGACCGCGCUGGGGAUCAUACUAGAGACUAUGAUGCCACAAGGAAUGCCGCUCCCCACCCCCCACCCCACCGCCCAGAGAAAAGCCCCUGUGUCCUGGAUGUUCUCAUCCAUUCUUCAGUAUUUACAGAGAAGAGCCUAUUGUUAGGUUCACAUAUGAGGAAACAGAGGCUAGGAAUCAUACCAGAACCUUCAGCCAGGAAGAAAUUGCAAAAGAGGGGCAGAAAAUGGCAACAGCUGAAUCCUCAGCUAUGGAAGCUUGUGUCUAUGGGUACAGUACGUAAAUGAGAGGAUCCAGCAAGCGGUUUAGCAGGAUGCAUCUCUUACAUUCAAGAACUACAAAGAUGGCAAGAGGCGAAAUGCCAUACUUUGAGGAGAGACAAGAAAAGAAGACACUGAAGAGGGAAGACACAUGAAGGGGUACAGAACACAUCGAGGACCCACAGGUAUGAGUCUCAGAGCCAUGAGAAUGAUGCUUUCUGUCUGCCUUCUCUGGGACCAUGGCUUAAGCAAGGCACCCCGGUGCACCCUCUCUUGCUGCCUUCCUCCUUUGGACAUCAAGACCUCCUUCCCUGGAUUAGCUCAUCCUGAUGCCUUCUAGACUUAACUUCUACCAAGCCGCCCUGCAUCCUCACAGCCGCCCUGCAUCCUCACAGCCGCCCUGCAUCCUCACAGCCACCCUGCAUCCUCACAACUGCUCAGCAUCUGGCCCAGAGUUCAGUCAGAAGAAGCAUUUGCUGAAGCCCAUCUCUGACACAUGGACACUGUCCCAAAAAGGAGUUCCUGCCCUGGGUUCCACAGACUGGGUGGUGACAACCCCAAGAUACUGUAAAGAACUACAGUAGGAACCGCCAGUGACCUUCCUCAGAGGAGGCUUGUGCCAUGGUAAGCCACAGGCAGGGACCACACCAGACACCUGCCCCUUCCUCCAUUCAGUUGUCAAGCCCAGAUCACCUGGACCCCCUUCUCUGAUGUCUUAGGGCUGUGACUGGCUGGCAAUCAUGCAGUAACUACUCAGUGUUAGGCUCAUGUCAGUCCUCCUGAGGGCCAUUGCUUCUCCUAUUUGCUCAUCACCUCCUCAGAUCGGCACAGGGUUGUGUAUUGAGUGGAACAACACAUGCAAAGGAACAGCCUGCCUCCAGCUAUUAGCAGCGAAGACCCAGUAAGUGGCUCCUUACCAGGAUGGGUGGAACCUGUUAUUACAAGGAGGCACCAAGUUGGCAGGAGGGUAGGGAAGAGCACUCACUGGGGAGUGACAUCUGAGAACUCAAUGCCUACCAGUGUAGAGAAGGAUGCUGGGAGGAACAGGGUCCUGGUCCCAGGCAAGAGAUAUGCAUGUGCCAACGCUCACGGCUAUGACAGGAGAUGGGGCUGGCAUGGUAAGGAGGCAAGGGGGCCUGGGAACGCUGCUGGACUUUAUUCGGAGAGAAAUGAAAAGGCGUGAAGGGUGAAGUGAAAUGCUCCGUUUUCAAAUUGUGAAGAGAAAGACAGAUAUACACACGUGUGUACAUGCCUGGAAACUGAUAGAUCAUAAGUAAAUUACAUAGCACACUGUCUCUGGGGGAGUAUCUGAAUCACUGAUUCAUACAUUUGUCAGGAUGAAUUGGGAGGUAGAGAGGUCAUGAAUUUAAUCCACUCCAGACCUCUUUUCCUUAAUAACUGUGCCCUGUAUGUACAGAAGGUCUGAGGGAUGGUAGAAUGGAACAGAAACUCCAGAUUAGCAUCUAGCACAGUCCCCUACCAAAACUGGGAUGCUGGACAACCUAACAAAUCUCUCAAAACAUCUGUCCCCUCAUUUGCCAACCCAUAACCUUUCCACCUGAAAGCAUGGGCUACAUGUCACAUCUUGGGACACAAAGCCCUGUUUCCUACUAUAAUGAACACUAGGGAGGGUCAUUACAAGCCUGCCUGGUGGACUCGGCACAGAAGCCUUGAGAAAAUUAAGGACACUUAAGUCCUUCAGGCUGAACAUGCCGUGUGUGUCCCUGAGAGCCUGCCUCUAGCCUGCACUGUGCUGCAAGCGGAGGACAGGAGCGCCAAGCUCUCUGCACCCUGGGCUUCCGGCUGGACCCAGAACUGUGGGCAAAAUCAGCAAGGGAUGAGACAGAAGGAUGAGUAUGGCCAGAAAAGACACCCUACAAUCCAGAUGGGCUGAGCCCUGUCCUCCCAUGGGGAAGUCCUCUCCCCACAGUCCUCCUAUGCCUCCCACACCUGGAGGUUUUCAGGGUCCCCCAGAGGUUACCAGCUUUAGUCAACUGCUUUACCAUACCUCUCGCCCUCCCAUCACUAGGCUUUUGAAAAGAAGCCCUCUAUUUAGUUUGCAGCAUGCCCUCUCUGACGUGGCCACCAGUUUCUGAAAAUAAUCCUAAAGGUUAUGUCCAAUGAAAGCUCCCUUUUCUCGUAUUCCUCCGCUUGGGCCUCAGGCCUGGUAUAUGGCCACCUCUGGAGCAUGGAGCAGUGGGGGCCAGAAGCACAAAGGACAUUGCCAGCCAACACAGACCCUUGACAUGGCUAGCAUAGGGUACCAGUGCACUGGGUGGGACAGAACACCCAGACCACCUAAUCCUCAUGUUCUGAGCCUGACUGCACAUGUGAGUUAGGGGGUGGGAAAUCAUCAGAUUCCUGGGGCAGGGCUGAGAACCUUCCGUAUGAACUGAGGACCGAACAUGGAAGUUAAGACACUGCUGGUGGUGUGUGUGCUUUUGGGGAGAACAAGGCAGGAUACUUUGUCUUGAAAAGUGAUCAAUAUGGCAGAUUAAUGCACAGAAAACAGAGUGCAGAUGAAACUCCCUAAAAUAUUUAUGAUGUUCGAGUGGUUUUUUUUUUAACAGAAGCAAGUUUUUCCUGUGCAUGCCAGCCCACUCCAUCAAAAGAACACUUUAAUAAGGCAACUCCUGCAGGAGGCUCAGCCUGGGCGUCGCAGCAGGACGCGAUGGUGUGUUUCAUAAGAUAUUCAUGGCUCUCUCUAGAAAAGAACAUUUUGGGAAGUAGGAAGCCCUUCUCCUUUAUCAAUCUGGCCAUUUUCAUAACCAGAGAAGUAAUAAUAGAGCGGAUGCGCUAGAAGCUUCUGCUGCUUUUUUGCCUUAAGGGAAAAAGGAGGUGGUGGAGAAUUCUGGGUGAUGAUAAUAGUACCAUAUAUUAAACCUGAUGUCAUUCAUCAAGUGAUGGGCAAGAGGCUGUGAUGUGUGACUUUUACUCCUCUGGGCUCAAGUCUCCACGGGAGCCUUGGCUCCAGAUGCUGAACAGCAGCUCUUGUCUUGGCCUCGCUGUUAGAAAGCCCUCUAGGAGCCCCCCUUCCUUUCCUCAAAUAUCACAAAUAUUGCAAGCUAGGCUCAGGCUGGUUUGGCUGAGAUCUCUUGGGUUCUGAGGUGCCUCCCAGACACAGCCUCGUUUUUUAGUUGCUCAAAAAUAGUCUUCACCAACUUCCCUUUGCUGGUUUCUUACCAGUCACUCACUCACUGCACAUUUACUGAGCAACUAGAAUUCAGAUUUUAGGAGUAAUGUCCUGUGCAGGACUAUGUAUACAGAAGUAAGAUGAGUAAGAAAAAGGCGUAUGACAUGGAACACAGACCCCUGGUCAAAGGGCCUUUAUCUUAGGAAGGAUGCAACAGUACCAUCCUGGUUAGUAGGUGCCAGUGUCUUAAAGGAUCAUGUCUGCUUUCAGACCCACAGCAGGGUGAGGGUACAUUGGAAAAGUCUCAAGACACAGAAAAAACAUGUGUGAACUGAUGGGGAUGUGUCAGGUGUAUUUGGGGUUGAAACAGCAAAAAGGACUGUAUGAGUCCAAACAUGACAUUGGGACAGCAAAAAUAAUGAAGGCCUUGCACUAGCACAGCCAGUUCACACAGGCAGAGGCUGUGGAUGAGGCCUGUGCCAUGAGGACACCAAGCGAGGUCUGUGCACGUCCAACAAGACAACCAGGCCAUGCCUCCUAAUAGUGCCACUCCCUAUGAGACUAUGGGGG